ACUCCUCUGCCAUGGAUCAGGACACUUUCCACUGUCCCAGAUUGUUCCAAGCCCCAUCCAACCUGGCCUGGAACACUUCCAGGGAUGGGGAGG